AAGUGUAAUAAAUUAGGGUAGAAAUGGAGGGAGGGUUUUGCAGAAGGGCACGUGAUGAGGUUGCAGAGGGAAUCUAAGGAAGGUGAUUCCCGAGACAUAUGGCGUUAAAGCAUCCAACAAAAGCAAAAGAAAGAAAACAGCUAGCACCUCUGCAUCUGGUCCACCACGUUACCAUCAUAUCUUCAUUUACCACACAUUUUUUUAUGAUUUCAAGAUAAAAAAGCUGAGCUGUGCUGGUGAAAUUUGCAUGCGUUCCCUUUCAUCUGCCUUAUUUAUGGAACUCAAUGAGAGUAGCUUCCAGUAGGGUUCAGUAGAUAGGGUUUUCAUUAUGGUCAAGGCUUCUCUAUUGACUCUUUACCCUUAUAACCUUUUUCAAUACCAUUAGGGUUGUUCAGCCUAGAUUUAACACUGCCUUUUCCAUUUCGAGUAUCUCUCUCAUGCCCACCCACUUCAUGUAUAUAUAUAUUGACUCUUUUCUCUCAAAUAAUCUUGUGGAGGAUCCUAGAUCUCAGAUCUAAGCUUUUUGUUUUGCUGUUCUUUCUCAGAAAACUAGAGAGAAAGAAAGGCCUGUGCUUUGUUUUCCUGCCUUCAGGUCUCAGAUUCGUGUCCUUGGCCUUCAUUUGUUCUUGAGUUUUCUGCAUCAUCGUUGUUUGCUGAAGGAUGAUACAUCUCACAAGAUGGUGUAGAAGAAGAGAUCUGGAUCUUUGUUGAAGGUAAUUCAAGAGUGAUGUGACAAUAGAACCAGCACGAAGCACUUUCAGUGGAGAUUGAUACCGUUUUUUGUUCAUGAUUGUUUUAUUUUCAAAAGUAACACUGAAAUGUGUUUUGCUUAUAUGCAAGCAGUUGUAUUAAGUUUGUAUUGUUUGAUAUUCAUUAAUAAAUUGGUAUUAUGUUUAAUUUA